UUGAUGACGGUGGUGUUCUUGCUCUAACCAAAUUCCACCCCCUCGAUCCCAAGUCAGAUUCAGGUUCGCUUUUCAUCAGUCAGAUGACAAAUAUUCCUGUUUGGUUGACGGUGGUGAUCAAGGGGUGGAAUUAGUUCAUGCGUACAAUUUAUUAGCACAGCACCACACCAGAGUACUUAUGGCGACGAUGAUGACGAAGCAAGCUGACUUCUACUUCCGGCAUACUGUUGGCUGAUGCUUCGUACAGCAGCAAUGCGUACUCGACCUCCGAUUCGAAUUUUGAUCAUUGCACAGAGCUGGCUCCAAUAACUUGGAUACUCACGAACACAAUAGCCUCUGCCGAUCGUUUUUGUGGCCGGCCAUAAACGCUAUGGGCGCAAACAAAAUCAAUUGGACACAAUAGCCUCUGCCACAGGUGCUUGCUGUUUGCUUUAUUACUAAAUUCAUUCAUGGUAUGCAGGGUACAUGCAUAUAUGAAUCCAUACUUGGAUGGUUGGACUGUUGACAGAAUAGGUUUGUAUGUGAAAAUAACAUUAAGCAUUAGAGCAUUAUACUUAUUCAGAUUUGGUCAGAACAUACAUAUACCAGCUAGGCCAAUUGCUUUCUUCAUGCUACUGUUAGCACGAACUGAUGUAGCAAUAUUCUAAAGGAAUGUAAGAAGUGUCUUGCUUGACAUCCUCUUUUUGUUACAAGGAAAAGUGGUUAUUGAUGUAAACUUGGCAUCAAGACUAUUUAAGUAUAUUUAGUUCAGGGGAUGUUAAAUAUAUUGCUAUUUGUGAUUUAAGUACAGUAUCUUUUUUGCUAAGGUUCUCUUUGUGGUUUUUCAUGUAGCAAUGGCAUGGUUCAUUAAAUCUUUGGCACACAAUGAAGUGUUUAGGAAACUCGAUCCAGUAAAGCGGAGUGUUAAUUUAUCUAAAUACGUCCAGUAAGUUCAUGAUGUAGCAAAACUUACAUGGUAAUGCCCAAUCUUUUGCAUUGCAUAUGUUAGAUAAGGAGACUCACAUAAUAUGAAGGAAAUUACACCAUAAAGUUUGUCAUGAUAGUAUACUUUAUCAGCAUUAUUUUCAUAUAUACAUUAUUAUAUGCUAGACAUUUUUGUUCAGCUAACUGAGAAAAACAUCAACUGAGAAGACUACAUAACUCAAUAGUUAAUCCAGUGUUUAUCCAACAGAAAAAAUAGGCCACCUGUAGAAGUAGACUCGUUACAGAAUCUUUCCAACAAUCUGACAAGUACAUCAUGUAUCUAACUCAGCCAAGUAAAUUACACACUCAUAUCUUGGGUUUUAGGUACAUUUAUGUUUAAAAUCGAGGCAACAAUAGCUAACCCAGUAUUUAAUCUCUUUUAUCAAAUUGUGCAGAAGCAUUCUACUCCCUCCGGUCCUUUUUACUCUGCACGUUGGAUUUGCUGAAAGUCAAACUUUGCUAAGUUUGACCAAAUUUAUAUUAGAAAUUAUUAGCAUUUAUAAUAUCUAAUAAGUAUAAUAUGAAAAUAUAUUCCAAGAUGAAUCUAAUGAUAUUGGGGUUGUUAUGUGAAUGUCUACAAUUUUUUAUAUAAACUUGGUCAAAGUUGGAUGAGAUUGACUUCAGACAAACCUAAUAUGCAGAGUAAAAAGGAUUGGAGAGAGUAUAUAGGUUUAUCUGUACCAUAGCUGAUAUAUUAAAGUGAGUAGCUUGAACUACAUCACUUGUAAAGACUCCCUAAAUUAUAGACAUAUCCAAAACAAACUGCAGUACUCCUUCCUUCCCUAUAGUAUUUUAUAAGUAUAUAGUAUCAUAAAUGCUUCUUACCGAUUUAAUCAAUUCGUUUGAUGUGCUUUAGUAAUAGCUGAAAGUUUUGGUGUCACCUCUAUUGUAAGGGGAGAAAGAACUAUAGGUCAAAGCCUCCUCAUAUCUGAUGCUGAUAUAUUUAGCUUUAGAAUUAUGGAUUUAGAUGUCUUCCUGAUUCCCCUCCUCUUUCAGUGCCCUACUUUUAGAGCUUCUCUUCUUUGUUUGUGCAGAUUUUGUUUCUCUAUGUCUUCCUGAUUCCCCCCUAUUUCAGUGCUCUACUUUUAGAGCUUCUCUUCUUUGUUUGUGCAGAUUUUGUUUCUCUAAGCCUACAAGACGAUCGCAGAAAAUCCAAGAAGAUUGACAUGAGUGACCCCGGACCCGGAGGCUGUACCAAUCAUGUUUAUAGCACUACAAACUUGGAAUACGUCCAGUAUUUAUUAUCUUGGUAAUUCACUGCACAUGAAGAAAGGACAACCGUUCAUGGACCCAUCCCAAGAGGUAUCGAUCUGCAGAAACUUACAUCUGGGUGUUUGUCCUGAACAUAUAUGCAUAGGAGGUGAUGGUUACAUUUAAGGUAGAGAGAUUCUUAGAGCUAUGCACUUGUUCACAAAAGCUGAGAAAAGUCAGGCGAUAUUCUCUAUCUUGUCACAGCUGUGAUGAUUUUGCUUAGGAAUUUUUUGUUAAUUGACAUACAUUUUUGUUAAUUCAUAGGCACUUUUGUAUGUUGUUCAUUAUGAUAAUUUUGCUUAGGAAGUUUGGAAUGAAAGUUCUGGCACUUUCAAUAUUCACUGUAUUCAUAAUCGGAAAGUAUUUAGUCUACACGUACUGUUCAUGUUCAUGGUGAUAUAUUGUAAAUAUUAGUGCUUAGUUCAUGUCCUUGAUGAACUUUUUUGAAUUUUUGGUCCUGGUGGUGGUCGAGCUCAUCUGGUGGUGGUUGUUGCCACUCCUUCUCUCCACGGCGUAGACCUUGUCGUCGAGCUCAUCUUCUAUCCUAAGGUGAUGAUCUUUCUGCAAGUUGCUGCCUGGGUUUAUAGUCCCGUUCGUUUCUUUACAAGACACAGAUGACAGAAAUGCCGCAAUGGGACCAGAGUUCAAAUUAGGAUGAAGAGGUGUUCUUCCAUGGUGGCCAAAGGUGAGGCGCUUCUCCGGCCAGAUCCAUGGCCACCAUGUUGCCAUCGACGUCCACCGUCCUUGACAGAUCGAUCGAGCGUGCAUCAUUGAGCUGCAUGGCUUCCCCCAUCACUGAGCUGCAUGGCUUCCCCAUCUCCCAGUUAUCAGAGGAUGUCAUGUAACCUUUAAGAAUACAUUCUCUAAGCGUGUUGAUUUUGCACAUCUAUAUCUUAAAGUUUUACAUACUUGCACGUACCAGUACUAAAUA